AGAGCUGCUGGUGUGGGCUGUGGCGGGUGCUGCUGCACUCCUUCUCUGGUUUCUAUCCAGGUCCAGGCUCAGACUCAGCACAGAGCCUAAAUCCUGGGUCCUGCUUUACACCUAGAAUAUGAGGCAGGUGACGAGAGUGACGGUGCUCCUGAUCUUGGGGACUUUGAGCCUCACUAAGACCACCCAGCCCAUUUUCAUUGACUCAUAUGAAGGACAAGAGGUGAACAUAACCUGUAACCACACCAACAUUGCUACAAAUGAGUACAUCCUCUGGUACCGACAGUUCCCCAACCAGGGACCACAAUUUGUUAUUCAAGCUUUUAAGGAAACAGUGAAAAAUGAAGUGUCAAUUCUGUUCAUCCCUGACGACAGGAAGUCCAGCACCCUGAGCCUGCCCCUGGCUACCCUGAGAGACACCGCUGUGUACUACUGCAUCGUGAAUGCCACAGUGAGACAGACGGGGCUGCACCUGUGCAGUAACCUCCUGUGGGGGAUGAGGAACCUGCUGAAGGUGAAGCAGAGCGCUGAGUCACUGAGUGUUCAGGACAGAGCCAGCUCUUCUCUCAGCUGCACUUAAGAAGACCCACUAUUUCCAGUACUUCAUGUGGUACAGACAAUAUCGUGGAAAAAGCCUAGGGUUUCUGAUUCUUAUACUCCCAAAUGGUGAAAAAGAGGAAAGAAGAUUCACAGCAUUUGAACAAAGACAAGAAAUACACCCCCCUGCACAUCACACAUCUGGAGCCCGGAGAUUCCAUCACCGACAUCUGCACAGCAGGUUCACAGUGAUCCCCAGGUCCUUGGAGCCUCUGCCCAAACGAGUGUUGGAGGGUCCAGCCACACGCCUGACAUGAGAGUUGAGAUGGCGGGGUAGAGGGGAAGCUCUGUAUUGUUUCUAUCUACUUAUGAAAAUAGAUACCCAUAUCUGAGAGGCCGUGUGUGCUUAUCUAAGGAAGACAUUAGACUAUUCUGUCUAAAGGAAUUUCCACCUAAAGGAAAUUAUAGAUGUAAUAUUGGCCUGAGUAAAUGUUCGAAAUGUUCUCUAUCCCACUUGGAGUUUCAUCCCACUCUUGUUUAUGGUUUCUCAGUUGGAUGAUGUCUUGGUUGUAGGCUAGAGGAAAAGAGCCCUGUCGUGGAGAUGGGGGAAGCAGGAGUAUGGCCCAGGUCCUUUCAAGGAGUCACUGACUAUGAAGAAACAACACAAUUAGGCUUAAUUUUAAGUUCUAAUUUUAUCAACAGGAAUCCCCAUGUUGAGCACUUUGGACAAAAGCCACUGAGGGAUGGUAGAAAGAGCACUGGGAUUAGAAGCAGUAAAUUCUAAUUCUAGUUGUACUUCAUCCUUGCUACAUCCCCUUUGUAACAAAAUAGAGUGGAAAAAGAAUAAGCUUCGAAGCCAAGCAUUUCUGGGUAUGAAUCUGAGAUUCUUAAUGGUUUGACCUUGGUCAAAUACUUAUGGUAUCUGAGCUUCAACACCUUCUCUAUAAAAUGGGGAUCAUAAUACUAUUUUCCAACAUUAUUAUGAGGCUAAAAUAAUAUCACACCAAGGUCCUGCACUUAACCAGAACUCGUCAGACAAAUGCUAUCAAUAUCCCACAUUAUCAUUUCUGUAUAAUGAAGUUAUUAAACCUGAUCUGCAAACCCUGCAAAGCUGUUUGAAGGAUGACAUAAAAUCUUGUGUCUUCAGGCUCUUGAUGAAUUGAGAAAUACCUAAACAAAUAUAAGAAUUUUGGGGGGAGAUAAAACUCUUGGUCUUGUUAUCUCUGAACAAAAAUCAAUGAAUUGAUCAGUUGUUUCUCUGUAGAAAGAUCAUAUGACUUCUUUGCCAAAUGGUCCCCAGGGCAAGGCUUUCAAGUGUGAGUUGAUAAAUGAUGGCUCAUGGAAUGAUUGGUGACUCUGGACUCCCGGGGUGGAUGAGUAACUCUCUGCCUCCAGGCCAAAGAGAGUCUGUAGGAAUGAAUGAUUACAAAAUGUUCAGAGCUUUGUAUAAUUACAGAGAUCAGGAUGAGUUUUGGUCUGGGUUUUCGACAGUCAACAGUCUAUCAAAGCACACAGCCCUGUUCUUAUUUAGUGAAAGGGCUUCCAUUAUAGUGAUGAGAAGCAGAAGUAUUUAUCAAGUACUCAGAGUAGGGUCCAGAUUAGAUCUCACCACUGCACUGAGCACAUUACAGGCACCUACACUUCAUUACUCAGAUGCAUCCCCAGGCUCACAUGUGCACAGACGCACAUGUGGUGUGUGUGUGUGUGUGUGUGUGUGAUUUUAAAAAUAUAUUGUAUGAUUGCUAUUUCCAUGUGGUCUCUUCACAUGGCGUCUCCAGCACGGUAGUUGAAUUUUUUACAUGGAAGCUCCUAAGAGUGCAAAAGGAGAACUGCUUGCUUAAGCUUAAGUCAGGACUGGUACAUCAUCACUCUUCCUGCAUUCUAUCAGCUAUGUGCACUAUGGGGCCAGCCCAGAUUCAGUGGGGGGACCUAUAUAAGCUAUAUAAGACUGUUAAUAUUGAAAAGCAUGAUUCAUCGAGAAUCAGCAAUUUAACAGAGUACUACAAUAGUCAUUGUAGAAAAUUUAGAAAACAACGAUAAAUA